CUAUGCGCCGUUGCCAGCCCGCUCAGGUGUGCCAGCCGCCGCGGUAAUACGGAGGAUGCGAGCGUUAUCCGGAUUUAUUGGGUUUAAAGGGUGCGUAGGCGGGCAUUUAAGCCGGCGGUCAAAUGUCGGGGCUCAACCCCGGCCUGCCGUCGGAACUGGGUGCCUUGAGUGGGCGAGAAGUAUGCGGAAUGCGUGGUGUAGCGGUGAAAUGCAUAGAUAUCACGCAGAACCCCGAUUGCGAAGGCAGCAUACCGGCGCCCUACUGACGCUGAGGCACGAAAGCGUGGGUAUCGAACAGG
rnacentral:rRNA from 1 species